AUGACUCGCUGGGAUCGUCGUCGAGGGGGCGGCCUCGUCCUCCUUCUUCACCUCCUUCUUCUUCUUCUUCUCGACAUCACGUUUCCAGUAGAACUCCUGCUCGGCCUGAACGUACUUGGGACGCUCCCGACCAAACCGAGCCAUCGCCGCCUCGUCGCUCUCGCAAGAAGAGACGACAACCGCCGGUCUCUUCUUCUUCUUAUUCGUCGGCAUCUCCUCCAUCUGGAUGCCCUGCGGCAUGAGUCUGAUAAGGACAUCAAUACCAUUGUUACACCCAUAGCCCCUGCUGCUAUACAUACUGGACCAAUUAAUAGAGCUCGCGCACGCCAAUUAAAUUACCAGGGCCUAGCUUGGACAAGAAAGAUGAACCUUGGAGCAAGUUCAAGCAUGGAGAUGAUGGCGUGCGCAAGAGGAACAAGAACGGAGUUACAAGUGAUGAUUUCAGGACUUUGA
rnacentral:rRNA from 1 species